GGGGCAGUAGUUCAGUGGUAGAGAUCCCGCUUCGUAUGCGGGAAGACCUGGGUUCGAUUCAGGGCUGCUUCC
rnacentral:tRNA from 1 species